UUUAGGGGUAAACGGGAGAAAUCCGAAAAUCUGAAGGAAGUGAUUCACGUAUUAUCUACAUUUUAUAUUAUACUUGAUUGAUGAUUAUUAAACUCCUUGUAUGCAAUUUAUUGUAUAUUAAGGGUUCCGUUUAAUAUCACAUUUCAUAUAUAAAUAAAUAUUAUGUGGUUUACCGCAUUUCAAACCUUCCUUAAUACAGAAAACGUCGCAACCCAUUGGAUUCCAGUCUAAGAUAUUAUAGGAAGUCUCAUAGAAACUUGCAUUUUUUUAUGUAUAGUUCUUUUAUGUAGACCUAUAAAUUUUCUGACUGAUUAUUCGAUGGUAUCAAAAUAAAUAAGAUUAACCCGCGUAUAACGCGUUUGAGUAUAUUUAGUUAUUAUUUGUAUUCCAUUUGUGAUUAUUUUUAGUUCGGUCCAAAAGGCCCGUCUAGAGAUUAGCAUUGGAUAUGAAUAUAUUCUCAAACAGUGGUAAUCUUUGUUUGCGGCGAAUAUGUUUCGGAAUUUCGCCCGACCC
rnacentral:rRNA from 1 species